rnacentral:ncRNA from 1 species
CAAAGGUAUGGUCCCAGCCUUCCUAUUAAUUUGUAACAGAAUUACACAUGCAAGUAUCUACGCCCCCGUGAGAAUGCCCUCUAUGUUAUAAUUAACCUAAAGGAGCGGGUAUCAAGCACACCAGUGGUAGCUUCAAGACACCUUGCUAAACCACCCCCCCACGGGUUACAGCAGUGGUUGAAAUUAAGAAAUAAACGAAAGUUUGACUAAGUUAUGUUACAUCAGGGUUGGUAAAUCCCGUGCCAGCCACCGCGGUCACACGGGAUACCCGAGUUAAUAGGCCCCCGGCGUAAAGGGUGUUUUAGAUAUAUUAUAAAUAAAGUUAAAUAUUUACUAUGCUGUAAUAAGCUUGAGUUUAAACAAAAUAAUGCACGAAAGUCACUUUAAAAUUUCUGAGCACACGAUCGCUAAGACCCAAACUGGGAUUAGAUACCCCACUAUGCUUAGCCCUAAACAUUAACUAUUUAUAACCCAAUUGUUCGCCAGAGUACUACAAGCAACAGCUCAAAACUCAAAGGACUUGGCGGUGCUUUACAUCCCUCUAGAGGAGCCUGUUCUAUAACCGAUACACCCCGAUAAACCUCACCACCUCUCGCCACCUCAGCCUGUAUACCGCCAUCUUCAGCAAACCUUAUCAAGGAAGAAAAGUAAGCACAAAUGUAGUCACAAAAACGUUAGGUCAAGGUGCAGCUUAUGGGGUGGAAAGCAAUGGGCUACAUUUCCUUUAUACGCAAGUACACCACGUUAACUCCCAUGAAAGCUGGGAGGAGAAGGAGGAUCUAGUAGUAAGCUACGAAUAGAGAGCUUAGCUGAAUAAGGCCAUAAAGCACGCACACACCGCCCGUCACCCUCCUCAAGCAUUUCUUAAAUAUAUAAGUAAUUAUCUACCCAAAAAUGUAAGAAGAGAUAAGUCGUAACAAGGUAAGCAUACUGGAAAGUGUGCUUGGAGAAUC